rnacentral:lncRNA from 1 species
GAUCAUUUAAAAGAUAAUAAGGAGUGCAAGAUCUACUUACAAGUUCAAAAACUAAUAAGGAGUACAAGAUUUACUUACCUCUUUCAUUUUAGAUUGUCAAACUUUAGUAGACAAUUCAGUUAACCCUAUAAAAAUAUUAAAAACAAAAUUAAUUUUGGUUUGACAAUUUUAAUCAAAUUAAAUAACAAGAAAUAGGGACGAUUGUUCGACGAUUCCAGGUGGGCCAGGCUCGAGCAAUUUGAUUAGUAAAUCAUAAGCAAUGGACUCGAUCAGGGCCAAGGUCGUUUAAUAUAGUCCAUCGGACCAAUGGACACUAGAUAAGGCCGGGUGAUUGGUCCAGUAGGCGACUCGAGAACCAAGGCAAUUUAGCGACUCAUUUCAGGGGUCAA